rnacentral:lncRNA from 1 species
UCACUUUUAUACCUUGAACGUAUAUUAAUUUCUUUAUCUUUUUUUUGCAUGCAAAAAAAAUGUCUCGAGUCCAAAUGGAUUCCUCUCUUCUUGCAUUUCAUAAUGGGCCAAUGAGGUCCACCCCUUCGAGUCAAGUUCGAAGUUUAAACCCGAGGUCCACUACAUGGCGUGCGGGUGCUAGAAAUAUACGAAGAAGGAAAAUGGGUCAAAACCCAUUGAUG